CGAUGCCUGAAAAGUUGGAACGUUUGUUUUCAUGAUUCCUCUAAUAUCAUAGGGGUUAAGUGAAAAAAAUUGGGAAAUUUCAGGGUAAGGAGAAAAAAAAAAGGGAGCUCCGAUUCGCGGGGGCGGUUCUCCUCGCCGAAUUGGAUGGGCGAUUUCAGGGUAAGGAAACCAGAUCAAACCUUCUCGUCCGUAUUCGUCCUCCCUUGCGGAGAGUUUGGUCCUAAAGGCUGGAGUUCAAGCCUCCUCCGUGCCCUUUGCUUCGUCUUUCUUCACCUCGAAAUGAGUCGACCAUGUCUUGGACUGAACGCAGCUUGGCAUUAGUUUCUGGACCCAAUGGUGGCUCCCCAAAUCCGCAAAAUCCUUUCUUGCUGCAAAUUAGAAGGCUUAUUACCUCUGCUUCCACCCGGAAGUCCUUCAUGGAUCAGUUUUUGGUCGAUAAAUGACCUCGUAUGUUCCGAUUUUUCGUGAAAUCAGAUUUUUGAGAGGAAGCCAAUCAAGUUCAAGAACCAUGGCAUCUGGCUGAGGUACCAGAGUAGGACAGGCUACCAUAAUAUGUACAAGGAAUACAGGGAUACCGCACUGAAUGGUGAGCGCUAUGGAUCAGAUGUGCAACAAGAUGGCUUCACGUCGUCGCUUGAGGUACCACUGCAUCCGGAUCAUCAAGACAGCCACCAUCCCUGCUAAGCUCUGCAAGCGCGAGAACACCAAGCAUUUCCAUGACUCCAAGAUUGGAUCCCUCUCGCCUUUAGGAGAGUAAGCCCCCCCUACCAGGAAGCUCAAGACCACCUACAAGGCGCCCCACACCAACUUCUUCAUGCAGAGGGGUCAGGCUGGAUGCAUUUCUCAAAUCUUUGUUUUUGGACGUGCUUGCGUUCAUAACUUUAUUUCUAUGGAUGGAUGGAUUCUGUCAUAGCAUCUGAAGCAAAGUCAGGUUUUUUUA